UUAAGCGACUAAGCGUACACGGUGGAUGCCCUGGCAGUCAGAGGCGAUGAAGGACGUGCUAAUCUGCGAUAAGCGUCGGUAAGGUGAUAUGAACCGUUAUAACCGGCGAUUUCCGAAUGGGGAAACCCAGUGUGAUUCGUCACACUAUCAUUAACUGAAUCCAUAGGUUAAUGAGGCGAACCGGGGGAACUGAAACAUCUAAGUACCCCGAGGAAAAGAAAUCAACCGAGAUUCCCCCAGUAGCGGCGAGCGAACGGGGAGGAGCCCAGAGCCUGAAUCAGUGUGUGUAUUAGUGGAAGCGUCUGGAAAGGCGCGCGAUACAGGGUGACAGCCCCGUACACAAAAAUGCACAUGCUGUGAGCUCGAUGAGUAGGGCGGGACACGUGGUAUCCUGUCUGAAUAUGGGGGGACCAUCCUCCAAGGCUAAAUACUCCUGACUGACCGAUAGUGAACCAGUACCGUGAGGGAAAGGCGAAAAGAACCCCGGCGAGGGGAGUGAAAAAGAACCUGAAACCGUGUACGUACAAGCAGUGGGAGCACGCUUCGGCGUGUGACUGCGUACCUUUUGUAUAAUGGGUCAGCGACUUAUAUUCUGUAGCAAGGUUAACCGAAUAGGGGAGCCGAAGGGAAACCGAGUCUUAACUGGGCGUUAAGUUGCAGGGUAUAGACCCGAAACCCGGUGAUCUAGCCAUGGGCAGGUUGAAGGUUGGGUAACACUAACUGGAGGACCGAACCGACUAAUGUUGAAAAAUUAGCGGAUGACUUGUGGCUGGGGGUGAAAGGCCAAUCAAACCGGGAGAUAGCUGGUUCUCCCCGAAAGCUAUUUAGGUAGCGCCUCGUGAAUUCAUCUCCGGGGGUAGAGCACUGUUUCGGCAAGGGGGUCAUCCCGACUUACCAACCCGAUGCAAACUGCGAAUACCGGAGAAUGUUAUCACGGGAGACACACGGCGGGUGCUAACGUCCGUCGUGAAGAGGGAAACAACCCAGACCGCCAGCUAAGGUCCCAAAGUCAUGGUUAAGUGGGAAACGAUGUGGGAAGGCCCAGACAGCCAGGAUGUUGGCUUAGAAGCAGCCAUCAUUUAAAGAAAGCGUAAUAGCUCACUGGUCGAGUCGGCCUGCGCGGAAGAUGUAACGGGGCUAAACCAUGCACCGAAGCUGCGGCAGCGACACUAUGUGUUGUUGGGUAGGGGAGCGUUCUGUAAGCCUGCGAAGGUGUACUGUGAGGUAUGCUGGAGGUAUCAGAAGUGCGAAUGCUGACAUAAGUAACGAUAAAGCGGGUGAAAAGCCCGCUCGCCGGAAGACCAAGGGUUCCUGUCCAACGUUAAUCGGGGCAGGGUGAGUCGACCCCUAAGGCGAGGCCGAAAGGCGUAGUCGAUGGGAAACAGGUUAAUAUUCCUGUACUUGGUGUUACUGCGAAGGGGGGACGGAGAAGGCUAUGUUGGCCGGGCGACGGUUGUCCCGGUUUAAGCGUGUAGGCUGGUUUUCCAGGCAAAUCCGGAAAAUCAAGGCUGAGGCGUGAUGACGAGGCACUACGGUGCUGAAGCAACAAAUGCCCUGCUUCCAGGAAAAGCCUCUAAGCAUCAGGUAACAUCAAAUCGUACCCCAAACCGACACAGGUGGUCAGGUAGAGAAUACCAAGGCGCUUGAGAGAACUCGGGUGAAGGAACUAGGCAAAAUGGUGCCGUAACUUCGGGAGAAGGCACGCUGAUAUGUAGGUGAAGUCCCUCGCGGAUGGAGCUGAAAUCAGUCGAAGAUACCAGCUGGCUGCAACUGUUUAUUAAAAACACAGCACUGUGCAAACACGAAAGUGGACGUAUACGGUGUGACGCCUGCCCGGUGCCGGAAGGUUAAUUGAUGGGGUUAGCGGUAACGCGAAGCUCUUGAUCGAAGCCCCGGUAAACGGCGGCCGUAACUAUAACGGUCCUAAGGUAGCGAAAUUCCUUGUCGGGUAAGUUCCGACCUGCACGAAUGGCGUAAUGAUGGCCAGGCUGUCUCCACCCGAGACUCAGUGAAAUUGAACUCGCUGUGAAGAUGCAGUGUACCCGCGGCAAGACGGAAAGACCCCGUGAACCUUUACUAUAGCUUGACACUGAACAUUGAGCCUUGAUGUGUAGGAUAGGUGGGAGGCUUUGAAGUGUGGACGCCAGUCUGCAUGGAGCCGACCUUGAAAUACCACCCUUUAAUGUUUGAUGUUCUAACGUUGGCCCCUGAUCGGGGUUGCGGACAGUGUCUGGUGGGUAGUUUGACUGGGGCGGUCUCCUCCUAAAGAGUAACGGAGGAGCACGAAGGUUGGCUAAUCCUGGUCGGACAUCAGGAGGUUAGUGCAAUGGCAUAAGCCAGCUUGACUGCGAGCGUGACGGCGCGAGCAGGUGCGAAAGCAGGUCAUAGUGAUCCGGUGGUUCUGAAUGGAAGGGCCAUCGCUCAACGGAUAAAAGGUACUCCGGGGAUAACAGGCUGAUACCGCCCAAGAGUUCAUAUCGACGGCGGUGUUUGGCACCUCGAUGUCGGCUCAUCACAUCCUGGGGCUGAAGUAGGUCCCAAGGGUAUGGCUGUUCGCCAUUUAAAGUGGUACGCGAGCUGGGUUUAGAACGUCGUGAGACAGUUCGGUCCCUAUCUGCCGUGGGCGCUGGAGAACUGAGGGGGGCUGCUCCUAGUACGAGAGGACCGGAGUGGACGCAUCACUGGUGUUCGGGUUGUCAUGCCAAUGGCACUGCCCGGUAGCUAAAUGCGGAAGAGAUAAGUGCUGAAAGCAUCUAAGCACGAAACUUGCCCCGAGAUGAGUUCUCCCUGACUCCUUGAGAGUCCUGAAGGAACGUUGAAGACGACGACGUUGAUAGGCCGGGUGUGUAAGCGCAGCGAUGCGUUGAGCUAACCGGUACUAAUGAACCGUGAGGCUUAACCUU
rnacentral:rRNA from 1 species